UGGUAACGUCACGGCUUAAGCGUAUUAAACUUAAACUUUUCCUCCCAACUGAAAGUGCUUUACAACCCGAAAGCCUUCUUCACACACGCGGCAUGGCUGCAUCAGGCUUGCGCCCAUUGUGCAAUAUUCCCCA
rnacentral:rRNA from 1 species